rnacentral:rRNA from 1 species
UACGUAGGGACCAAGCGUUGUCCGGAAUCAUUGGGCGUAAAGAGCGUGUAGGCGGCUUGUUAAGUCUUGCGUGAAAUCUCGGGGCUCAACCCCGAGCGGUCGUGAGAAACUGGCAGGCUAGAGUGCGGGAGAGGAGAGUGGAAUUCCUGGUGUAGCGGUGAAAUGCGCAGAUAUCAGGAAGAACACCCGUGGCGAAGGCGGCUCUCUGGAACGCAACUGACGCUGAGACGCGAAAGCGUGGGGAGCAAACAGGAUUAGA